GUGAAUCAUCGAAUCUUUGAACGCACAUUGCGCCCGCCAGUACUCUGGCGGGCAUGCCUGUUCGAGCGUCAUUUCAACCCUCAAGCCCCCUUGGGGGCUUGGUGUUGGGGACCGGCCCUGCCCUAUCGCUAGUCGCCGCCCCCGAAACUACAGUGGCGGUCUCGCUGCAGCCUCCUCUGCGUAGUACCUGAAACCUCGCACUGGAGUGCGGCGCGCUACGCCGUUAAACCCCCAACUUUGCAAAAGGUUGACCUCGGAUCAGGUAGGGAUACCCGCUGAACUUAAGCAUAUCAAUAAGCGGAGG
rnacentral:rRNA from 1 species